rnacentral:lncRNA from 13 species
AUGAGCCUGAGUGAUGUGCUAACAGAGUGCCCUUUGUUCAACAACGCCUCCCUGUUUCACACAGGCAAUCAUUGGGGCAUUCCAGAGACAACAACCAGAAUGGCCACAGCAGGCUCCUCUCACUGCAGAUUGCCAGGUGGUGCCCUGCUCCAGCGUGACGCUAAUUUCCUUGAACCACUUUCGUCGCAUCGCCUCUCCAAACAUGCCUGCUAGUCAUCAGAUCACACUGAGCUCACCAGGAAACACGGGAUGGACCAAUCAACGCCCUGCCCUUUCUCCCUGCCACUUCCUGUGUGGCUGGAAACUAUGACAAGAGGAGCCAGAGAUGUCGCAGGUGCAGACUGACACCCAUCCCCACUGGGGGAAG